UAUUUAUAUUUUAUUAGUAUUAGAAAAAGAGAAGGAUUAUUGCAUGAAAUUGUUAGUAAGGAGCAAUUUAAUAAAUAAGAUACCCUCUCUAGGAGGUGAUCUAAACUAACAUAUAGUAGAAAAAAUAUAUUGGUCUUUAUCUAAUUCUUAGUUCAAAUUACUAUUUUUAGGUGAUGUAAAUAGAUUGGUCUUUAUCUAACAUAGAAACAUAGCAACAUUAAGAAAUUACAUAGAUAGAAAUGAAAUGUAUUUAUCUAAAUAUUGUUUGGAAAUAGCACUUUAUAAUGCCUUUGUGGAAGCUAAUAAAAUAGACUCUAAGUUAUUUAGCUAUAUACACUUGUAGAUAUCCAGUUCUUCUCUAGGUUUGAUUGAUAACAUGUCUUAUCAUAUUGAUAUAAUAUGUUUGUUCAUUAUUGGGAGUAACAUUCGUCUCCUUAUCAGAAUCUUUUAAAGGCAAACCUGUUUCGAAUACCAUCACUUUAAUUUAAAAUUGUUUUAUGUUGUUUCUGUGAAUACUGGGAGUAAAAUAUGUUCUAACUAUUUAUAUAUAUCGCGGGAUUUUAAAACAUGGAACUCGAUUGAGAAUAUGUUUGUUCUUGGAAAGAAUGAAUUAGAUAUACUUUGUCGAUGAAUUACUGGAGCUAAAUGAAGAACACUUUGAAGAUUUUGAUGUACUUCUUUAUUGGAAGUUUAAUUAGAAAAAGUUUCCGAUUCUCUCCAUAAUGGCAUGUGAUGUGCUUAACAUUCCUAUCACAAUUGUAGCAUUUGAGUCUUCUUUCAGUAUCGGUGGACGUGUUCUUACAAAAUGCAGAAGUUUUACUCUUCCUGAACACAUCCAAAUGUUGAUUUGUACUCGAAACUGGUUGCAUGGAUUUUCGGAAAAUAUGAAUGAUGAGGAAGAUAUCAACACUAAUGAUGAAGACAAUACUAAGGUGACAAUGACUCAACAUACAUUUGGAUUGCAAAAUUGAAGUGGAAGACUAAUUUAGUACCAUAUACUUUAUUCUGGUUGUUGAAUUUAUCUUUUCAUGUUUUUUGGUUGAAUUGAUAUCUUUGUUUAUAUGAUAUGUGGUUCAUGUUUGUAUUGAUUUACUUCAAUUUCGAAUGUCGAAUGUCCGGAGUAUUGACAUAUAUCUUUCAGUGAUAUGUAUAUAUAGUACUUUUUCUGAAUUGAGAUGGAUAA